AAUUCAUUAUAAAUACUUUUCCUGAUUAUUGUCGAUGGCCUCACAUCACUUAGCCUGUCUCGUUCUCUUCGCGUUAAUCAUGACUGCUCUGUUUGUCCCUUAUGAAUGCUCUGAUUCUUGGAGCGGAGGAAGAAAAAUUAUGGACAACGAAAACUCGGUGGUGCGCGGCGGCGUGAAGGCCAACACCAGAAAUGGGGAUUGUUAUCAGGCGGCGAAAUGCGACGAGGGCAAGUGCUGGUGUUGUCCCCAUAUACUUAUUCAUGGAUGUUUUCUUACUAGGAUACAUUGUGACGAGGCAUGUUCAAAAUCAACCUCGCAUACUUGAUCAUUUUGUAUGCGCAGAUCAAUCAUUCUGCUUUCAAUAAAUUUGAUUAUAAAA